rnacentral:lncRNA from 1 species
UAGGUGCCCUACUCCUACCCCCCCUGUUCUCACCUUCAUCUCUGCUGCCUCCGCUCCAGCUUGCUCUAUNNNNNNNNNNCCUGUUCUCACCUUCAUCUCUGCUGCCUCCGCUCCAGCUUGCUCUAUUACCUAUGCAAUCACAGCUCAGUAAUGGACUGGUGAACUAAAAUGGAUAGCUGCUGGGAGAAUUGCGACUGAUGAAUCGCGAUCAGCCGCUGAUUCCCCUGCCGUUGGAUUCGUGCCUCAAGACUCUGCCACUGGGACUCGGUCGGAAGAAUCUACUGCGGCCUUCUCUACCCACCUUUAUGAAAUUCUAACCCCAACCAGCCAUGACAAGGCUUAAUUUAUUAGAACCCGUUGUUGUUUAGAAAGAUGUGUUAUUCCUGUGAAAGUCUCGUUUUUGACUCAGUUUUUUUUUAGCAUUGUACACGGGCUUUGCUGCGACGAGGAUGCCUUUUUUAAUCAGGCCAACGUCAAGACCUGAAACAGAGCCCUACCACGUUAAGGGAGAGCACCCCAACUUGCUUGUUGACACGUGAGGGAAAAUAAGAGUCUGAGGUGGCAGGAUUUACCACUAUAACCCUAUGGUAGUGAUGGUUGGUCCCAGUACUCCUUCGAGUGCCUUUUGCGCUUAGCGUAGGAAAGAGGAGUUGCCUUGCCUUACCACACCAACCACCUUAGCGCUGGAAGUUCUAGCAAUGGGCAGCUAGGCAAAGGAUAAUUAGCUAUCUAAUGAAUAUUCAUUAGAUAAUAGAUUGUGGAUCUGUUCUUAGCUCGUGCAAUCAAUAAAAAGCGGUCCUUCGCCUUAGUAAGCUAGCUUUCUAAGCCCGGACGUGGAUCGAUCGUGACGAAAAAAUGGGACUAAUCCUCUGUACUGUAGUAAUAGAAGAGUCAGAGUCCCUUCUCGACCAGACGAAGGAGAUAGGAAUGGAAUUCUGCCUUGACCCUCCUGGAGGCGAAAAGUUCAUAAUUCAGUGUGGUGGGGGCCUAGUAGUAUUAUAAGGAUGUUGGUUUCGUAUAUAAGAAGACUACUGCUUAGAGGAGAGUGAUCUGUUCAUCUAACUCAAAAUAUUGUAAGAAGAAGAAGAAUCUUACGCCCCAAAUUCCCAUCUCUUUUUUCUUGGUUGGACCAACCGGCACCAGCCAUUUCCGUCUUCCUUAAUUGGNNNNNNNNNNNNNNNNNNNNNNNNNNNNNGGGGAGCAGAAAAUGAAGGAACCUUUGCUUUGAAAAUGAUUGUUCUAAAAUGGUUAUUCCUCACAAUUUCUCCUUGUGAUGCAGCGGAACCAUGGCAAUUAGGAUCUCAAGACGCAGCUACACCUAUAAUGC